GCUCCUUCCCACCCUCACCACCUCCCGCCAGAGCCCAGCCCUGCUGCAGGCCACAGCCCCUCCCUCGGGGUGGGGGCCAGAAACCUGCGCCUCCCCGGUCCUCUCCCAGACCCACCCCUGCAGUGGCACCCAGGUCCUGGCUCUGUGACGCAUCCACCAUGGUCCCCGUUAUCAGAGGGCCAUUGGGGUGGGGCAGCUCCAUUUGCUUAAGGCUUAGUCGUGAGGGCCCAGCCCCCAUUACGUCAAACCUGGCCCAUAUAAGAUGCGGGGUCCCCAGCCGUGGUCCGCAUCAGCCACCCGGCCCGACAUGGCUCAGCUGCCCCACAGCCUCUGUUCCGCGUUUGGCUUCCAGUGCUGCCUCGUCUUCCUUCUGGCUUCUUGGGCAGCAGGUGCUCCAUCUCAAGGACUUCAGAGAACUAGAGAAUCUCCAACAUCUCCUCACUUACCUGCCUUCACCCCAGGCCUUAUCCACACUGCUCCCCCUGACCACACGGCCCUGCCUUCCAAACACAAGCCUUCAGAUCCCCCCAAAUCUACUGAAAUCCAGAGAUCGAAGCCCCGCUGUACCACCACACGCAGCCCCAGGCCCACUCCCAAGCCUACAGAUAGUUCCGGAAGCACAGACAAGGAAAGCUCCGCAGCUCAGCACACAACGUCCCCCCCUUCUACACAGAACACCAGCAGCCAACAAAAGGAGUCAGUUAUCCAGCAACAGCCCUCUAAUCUGGACUUCACUAACAAACACAAAAGAUCACCUACACAACAGCCCACCUCAGCACCCAAGAGGAAAACGACUUGUAAAUCCAUAACAAGGAAAACAGGAAAGACAACUACAACUGCCAGACCUGUGGAAAAGACGGCCACGAGUUUAAACAAUACAACCAUCACCUCACACAAGACUAUGACUUGUAAAUCCAUAACAAGAAAGACAACUACAACUGCCAGACCUGUGGAAAAGACGGCCACGAGUUUAAAUAAUACAAUCAUCACCUCACACAAGACUACGAUUGCUUCCCACAGCUCCAUCAGUUCAGAGAUCAAUAGAAAGACCACAUUUCCCCCAGAAAAAACCACACAAGCCACUGUGACAUCAAAGAAAACUACAGAAAACCCAGAACAGUCAGAUGGAACUGAAGGGAAUAGGACUACAGUUGUCCCAGAGAACCCCCUCCCAAGGACUACAAAAGACAUAACAGAGACAUCAGUCAGUGAGACCAUGGGAGUCCACACAACAUCGCUGGGACAUGGAGGAAAGACUGUAUCUGCCCACGAGUCCACAGGGGCCCACACCACAGCUCCACAACAUGAAGGGGAGACCGUGUCAGCCCACGAGCCCACAGGGGCCCACACCACAGCUCCACAACAUGAAGAGGAGACCGUGUCAGCCCACGAGCCCACAGGGGCCCACACCACAGCUCCACAACAUGAAGGGGAGACCGUGUCAGCCCACGAGCCCACAGGGGCCCACACCACAGCUCCACAACAUGAAGGGGAGACCGUGUCAGCCCACGAGCCCACAGGGGCCCAUACCACAGCUGCACAACAUGAAGAGGAGACCGUGUCAGCCCACGAGCCCACAGGGGCCCACACCACAGCUGCACAACAUGAAGAGGAGACCGUGUCAGCCCACGAGCCCACAGGGGCCCACACCACAGCUUCACAACAUGAAGAGGAGACCGUGUCAGCCCACGAGCCCACAGGGGCCCACACCACAGCUUCACAACAUGAAGGAGAGACCGUGUCAGCCCACAAGCCCACAGGGGCCCACACCACAGCUGCACAACAUGAAGGGGAGACCGUGUCAGCCCACGAGCCCACGGGGGCCCACACCACAGCUUCACAACAUGAAGGAGAGACCGUGUCAGCCCACGAGCCCACAGGGGCCCACACCACAGCUACACAACAUGAAGGGGAGACCGUGUCUGCCCACGAGCCCACAAGGGCCCACACCACAACUUCACAAAGUGAAGAAGAGACCGUGUCAGCCCACGAGCCCACAGGGGCCCACACCACAGCUGCACAACAUGAAGGGGAGACCGUGUCAGCCCACGAGCCCACAGGGGCCCACACCACAGCUUCACAACAUGAAGGGGAGACCGUGUCAGCCCACGAGCCCACAGGGGCCCACACCACAGCUGCACAACAUGAAGCGGAGACCGUGUCAGCCCAUGAGCCCACAGGGGCCCACACCACUGCUCCACAACAUGAAGGGGAGACCGUGUCUGCCCACGAGCCCACAGAGGUCCACACCACAGCUCCACAACCUGAAGGGGAGACCGUGUCAGCCCACAAGCCCACAGGGGCACAUACCACAGCUCCACAACGUGAAGAAGAGACCGUGUCUGCCCACGAGCCCACAGGGGCCCACACCACAGCACCAGAACAUGGUGGAAAGACCACACUGACCCAGGAGACCACAGCAACCCAAACAACGCCUCCAGAUCAUGGAGAAAGGACUACAUCAGGCCACAAGACAACACAAAUCUUAUCAAAGGCCACAGAACACCCAGAAGAUGCCACAUCAACCCCAGAGAAAACCACAAUAGUUUCCAAAACUCCCAUAGUAUAUCCAAAGACCACACUGACCACUGAGACCACAGAAAUCCUCAUCAAAUCUACCAAAACCCCAGAAAAAACAUCAGCAGCAAUCACAGAGACAGCAAGGCACACAGCCAAGACCACAGGAGGCAAACAGAUCUCUGUCACCUCUCCUUACUUAAAGGGAACCAAGGUCACCCAUCAAGCUUCUGUUGGUCCUUUGACUAUAUCUGGAAUGGACCGGAAUCAUACCACAUCAGAAGCCCCAGGCAACCAGAGUCCUCCUCAGUACAAUGACAGCGCCUCACAGUUGGGCACUCAGACUGGGGAGCCGGAGGGAUCAGGCUCCUUCCCCGCCUGGGCCAUAGUGAUUGUGGUCCUGCUGGCCCUGAUUCUCCUGUUGCUGUUCAUUGGUCUGAUCCUGGUCUUCUGCCUGACCCCACGGCGCCGUGAGCUGACCCACAGUCCCGAGGACAGCGGCCUCCAGGACGAGGAGGGCCCCAAUUCCUACCCGGUCUACCUGAUGGAGCAGCAGAAUUUGGGCUGGGGACAGCUCCCUUCCCCACAGUGAUCUUCCAGGAGGUGCCCAGCCCAGCCCUCCAGGCUCAGCCUUCCCGGAUGGGGCAUUAGACCCACAGUCCCCGUUCCUGGACAUGGCAACAUGGCGCGGUGUUAGCCCAGCGUCAGCCUCGCUCUUAGCUGAGGAACCAGUGGAAGAUGAGAGAUCACUGAGAAGGAUGCGAGUUUCGGAGAAACAGAAGGAAUAAAGAACACACACAAAUGUGCACCCCAGUGAGAGAGAAGCCAAUGCACGGCGGGCGGGCGGGUGAGGCCUCCAAGUGCAGGCUGAGCUGAGAAGUGGAGAGAAUGCAGACAGGGCUCCCUGGCUCUGGGGCUUUUGUCUUCCAGAGCUUAAGACUUGUCUCUGGGUGCCCAGGAUCCUCGCCUUUCCUUCUUUAAUGAAACCAAGCCAAGCCCGGUCUAAGCAGGAUCAAGGCAGAAAAGAGGAUUCCCAGUGCGUCUGCUGUUCCCUGGAGGAAGGGGAUCCCGGACGAUCAGUACCCGUCCUCAGGGGUCCUCGCUCCCACGUCCCCAGCUCUCCGAGUGUCAGGCUGGGUUUCCUGCUGGCUCUGAGCAGCGACGUCUCCCCAGCCAGCCCUUGUGGUCCCAGGCCUCCCGAUGACGGUGGCCCACACUCAUGGUGCUGUUCCCGAAGCCAGGCCACGUGUCUUUUCCAGUCUUCCUGCUCCCCGUACCUUCGCCCCAGGCUCCAGGUCCCCACGUCCCCUCUGCCCGUGCUGUUCAGGUUUCCUAGGCGGCGCCCUGGCCCCUGUGACCCAACAAGUGGAGAGGAAAGGACUGAACAUGUCCUUCUGUUGGAUUUUUUAAAAAUA
ensembl:lincRNA